AGCAUAUGUGUGUGGGGUUGGUUUUUUUUAUUUUCCUUAAAAAUGAGGUAAACACAGGUGUUACUAAUGACAUUAAUGAAGGUUUUGUUUAAUAUAGCCUUAAUCUAAGUGAUUAGUACCACCUGUGUUUAUCUACUGUUUCAUGUGAAAGAGGUCUGUCGGAGGCUCUGGCUACAUGCAGUCAUGGUAAAAAAAAAGAAAGUAUCCUUUUUUCAGUUUGAAGGUUUCAGGUAUGAGGACAUAAAAAUUCUGAGGAAGUUUUAAAAUGAGGACAAGAAAAACACUGCAGCUGAAAGACCAGGAAAGGAAGGAUUCAGGAAAUGUGACCAUCUGAGGAGCACGGGAAUGCACAAUGAGGGAUGGGCGCAACACAUGGGCACGUAGCGUAUCACAGGGGAUGCCACAUCUGUGAUGCCUCACAACAUCCCGGCUCAAAGACUAGCAUAUUGGGCCCCUUGCUUCCAAGGCUAUUGCUCAUUUACAGUCUCAUCUUUGUUCAUAUCCAAAUUCUGCUACCUGUCCCGCCCACACGAUGUGAGAUCAAAGGCUUCUGACUUGGAACAAUGGCAAACAGGAACCCAAACAGGAUGUGGAACCAAAAUCUCACAGAGGCACGCUGAAUGGCAAAUGCGAGCCGUUGACGUUUGUGCGCGGUCGUUACAAAGCCCAUUUUCAAAAAUGGAUUGUUAGUGAAGAAAAGGUGUGACCUUGAUCCCAUCCCCCCUUCAGAGUAAAGCCCUUUCAAAGCAGUGGUAAUGCACUUGCCACAUCCCCUUCCUGAGCCUUAAAUGUUUGGGAUUUUAUGGCGAAAUGGCACGGCAGUGUGCAUUAAAGCACACGAUAAGUUGAUCCAGAGUUAGAAACACAAAACUAAAGAACAGCUGAGUUGCUCGCUUUCUGUCACCGCAAACCUCAUUUUUUAAAAAAACAACAAAAAACCCUUCAGUCAUUUCACCAUAGACUUGUAAAAGAGAGCGAGACCCCCAAUUUUCCGUCCAGGUUUAACAAACCCCAUCAUUUAACCUGCAUCAGCAACUGCAGUCGCAACCAUCAACCCAGACAACCAGUGACUGUGGUCAAUCAGCGGCCCACGUCUGGAUCCUGAGUAGACGCCACUGUGGAAACUGAUCCCUUCACCGUUUAACCAAUCAAGUGACCUUACACUACUUUAUACUAACGAUGUCAUGUUUAGACAACGGCUGCUUGGCCAUGGUGAGCUGGACGGUACCCAUAAGAGGGGAAUUAACAGAGUUAUCACUGUAAGGCAUAAACUGGAUCUGCAUUGUCAUUGUGGACUUAUAAACGUCCUGUCGGAAGGCUUGAGAGGAGUAGCUGCUCUUUUAUCCAGCGGUACAGACAUUGUAUUUUCCUCACCAAUCAAACAGCAAGAAACUGAAGAGAUUAUGUAUCUCACUGUGCUUUGCGGAAUAAAGAAGACAGGGGCUUGACACUGAAAGCCAGAAACCCAAUCUGCUGCCGCUGCGGUGAAGCAGCGCCCGGAUGCUGUGCUGCCAAAGGGCACUGAGGACAUGAGGCGUGAUAGCCGGCCGGGCCGCGUUGGGGAAUUCUGCGUGCAUCCUCCCCACAACUGAAGGGAAGGCAUCUUUUGUAAAGAGAGGGAGCGCCUUUGUCCUCCUUUGGUGUUUACGUUUGUCUUAAAUUUCACCUAGUGCACAGCGCGGCUCCACCAAGCCACAGGAUAGGCAUUGUUCUGGGCCCCGUGCAGGAAUGGUAGCCUGCAGUCACCUUCUUUCUGACUGUCGCCAUUGUCCCACCACCAACCCCCCAAACUUCUUUGUUUUUGCUCCCUGCCUCAGACAGCUCAGAUUGUUGCCUGAUGUUGCUUCCUCUCUUCCCAUUGUUUCCAUGUCUCCUCUAAUGUAU